GACGAACGCUGGCGGCGUGCUUAACACAUGCAAGUCGAACGGAAAGGCCCUGCUUUUGUGGGGUGCUCGAGUGGCGAACGGGUGAGUAACACGUGAGUAACCUGCCCUUGACUUUGGGAUAACUUCAGGAAACUGGGGCUAAUACCGGAUAGGAGCUCCUGCUGCAUGGUGGUGGUUGGAAAGAUUCGGCGGUUGGGGCUGGACUCGCGGCUUAUCAGCUUGUUGGUGGGGUAGUGGCUUACCAAGGCUUUGACGGGUAGCCUGCCUGAGAGGGUGACCGGCGACAUGGGGCCUGCGAUACGGCCCAGAAUCCAACGGGAGGCAGCGGUGGGGAAUAUGGCAGAAUGGGCGGAAGCCUGAUGCAGAAACGCCGCGUGCGGGAUGACGGGCUUCUGGUUGUAAACCGCUUUCGACUGUGACGAAGCGUGAGUGACGGUAAUGGGUAAAGAAGCACCGGCUAACUACGUG
rnacentral:rRNA from 1 species